rnacentral:rRNA from 1 species
GACGAACGCUGGCGGCAUGCCUAAUACAUGCAAGUCGAGCGAAUGAUGAAGAAGCUUGCUUCUUCUGAUUUAGCGGCGGACGGGUGAGUAACACGUGGGCAACCUGCCCUGUAGAUUGGGAUAACUCCGGGAAACCGGGGCUAAUACCGAAUAAUCCAUUUUCUCUCAUGUGAAAAUGUUAAAAGACGGUUUCGGCUGUCACUACAGGAUGGGCCCGCGGCGCAUUAGCUAGUUGGUGAGGUAACGGCUCACCAAGGCGACGAUGCGUAGCCGACCUGAGAGGGUGAUCGGCCACACUGGGACUGAGACACGGCCCAGACUCCUACGGGAGGCAGCAGUAGGGAAUCUUCCACAAUGGACGAAAGUCUGAUGGAGCAAUGCCGCGUGAGUGAAGAAGGUUUCGAUCGUAAAACUCUGUUGUGA